rnacentral:rRNA from 1 species
AGCGAACGCUGGCGGCAGGCUUAACACAUGCAAGUCGAGCGGGCAUCUUCGGAUGUCCGCGGCAGACGGGUGAGUAACACGUGGGAACGUACCCUUCGGUUCGGAACAACUCUGGGAAACUGGAGCUAAUACCGGAUACGCCCUUAUGGGGAAAGGUUUAUUGCCGAAGGAUCGGCCCGCGUCUGAUUAGCUAGUUGGUGGGGUAACGGCCUACCAAGGCGACGAUCAGUAGCUGGUCUGAGAGGAUGAUCAGCCACACUGGGACUGAGACACGGCCCAGACUCCUACGGGAGGCAGCAGUGGGGAAUAUUGGACAAUGGGCGCAAGCCUGAUCCAGCCAUGCCGCGUGAGUGAUGAAGGCCUUAGGGUUGUAAAGCUCUUUUGUCCGGGACGAUAAUGACGGUACCGGAAGAAUAAGCCCCGGCUAACUUCGUG